AGUGAACGUUGGCGGCGUGGAUUAGGCAUGCGAGUCGAGCGAGAACCGUAGCAAUACGGGGACAGCGGCGAAAGGGACAGUAAUAUGUAGGUACCUACCCUCGGGUCCGGGAUAGCUGCGGGAAACUGCAGGUAAUACCGGCUGACAUCUCCGGAUCAAAGGUGUGAUUCCGCUCGGGGAGGGGCCUGCAUCCUAUUAGCUUGUUGGUGGGGUAACGGCCUACCAAGGCGACGAUGGGGAGCGGGUGUGAGAGCAUGACCCGCGUCAGUGGGACUGAGACACUGCCCAGACACCUACGGGUGGCUGCAGUCGAGAAUCUUCGGCAAUGGGGGCAACCCUGACCGAGCGACGCCGCGUGCGGGAUGAAGGCCUUCGGGUUGUAAACCGCUGUCGUAGAGGAGGAAAUGCAGGGGGGUUCUCCCCUCUGUUUGACCUAUUCUAGGAGGAAGGACGGGCUAAGUUCGUGCCAGCAGCCGCAGUAA
rnacentral:rRNA from 1 species